CCUACGGGUGGCAGCAGUGAGGAAUAUUGGUCAAUGGACGAGAGUCUGAACCAGCCAAGUAGCGUGAAGGAUGACUGCCCUAUGGGUUGUAAACUUCUUUUAUAUGGGAAUAAAACGUUCCACGUGUGGGAUUUUGUAUGUACCAUAUGAAUAAGCAUCGGCUAACUCCGUGCCAGCAGCCGCGGUAAUACGGAGGAUCCGAGCGUUAUCCGGAUUUAUUGGGUUUAAAGGGUGCGUAGGUGGAGUGUUAAGUCAGUUGUGAAAGUUUGGGGCUCAACCGUAAAAUUGCAGUUGAAACUGGCAGUCUUGAGUACAGUAGAGGUGGGCGGAAUUCGAGGUGUAGCGGUGAAAUGCUUAGAGAUGACGAAGAACUCCGAUUGCGAAGGCAGUUCACUGGCCUGCAACUGACGCUGAGGCUCGAAAGUGUGGGUAUCAAACAGGAUUAGAUACCCUUGUAGUC
rnacentral:rRNA from 1 species